UAAGGAAUAUUGGGCAAUGGACGAAAGUCUGACCCAGCCAUGCCGCGUGCAGGAUGACUGCCCUAUGGGUUGUAAACUGCUUUUGUACAGGAAAAAACUCCUGGUCGUGCACCAGGACUGAUGGUACUGUGCGAAUAAGCAUCGGCUAACUCCGUGCCAGCAGCCGCGGUAAUACGGAGGAUGCAAGCGUUAUCCGGAUUUAUUGGGUUUAAAGGGUGCGCAGGCGGAAUGGUAAGUCAGUGGUGAAAUCUUCCGGCUCAACCGGAAAACUGCCAUUGAUACUGUCGUUCUUGAGUAUAGUUGAAGUGGGCGGAAUGUGUCAUGUAGCGGUGAAAUGCUUAGAUAUGACACAGAACACCGAUAGCGAAGGCAGCUCACUAAGCUGUAACUGACGCUCAUGCACGAAAGCGUGGGGAUCAAACAGGAUUAGAUACCCUGGUAGUCCACGCUGUAAACGAUGAUCACUCGUUGUUGGCGAUAUACUGUCAGCGACUGAGCGAAAGCAUUAAGUGAUCCACCUGGGGAGUACGACGGCAACGUUGAAACUCAAAGGAAUUGACGGGGGCCCGCACAAGCGGAGGAGCAUGUGGUUUAAUUCGAUGAUACGCGAGGAACCUUACC
rnacentral:rRNA from 1 species